CAAAUAUUGCCCUUUACUGUCCACUGAAAUCCUCCUAAGUGGCUGCUGUGAUCCAAAUAAGCUCUGCUCUCGGGAUGGCAGAGCACAGUGCGAGUUAUUUUAUUUUGUAGUACAAAUGCAUCCUGGAUUGAGUGUCUGAGGCAGGCAAUUCAGUAAGUGUAAAUAAUAACUGAUUUUGACAGAAAUGCUAUGUACACUAGAGACUCUUCGGACGAGCAGAGAGCAGCUUUCACACAUUUUUUCCAGCUACAUUGUAGAACCAAAUGCAGAAAUCCAGAUUUGUGACACUCUGGGUGAUUCUUUCUCCCCUACUGGAAAAAAGAAGAAAGGACUGCAGUGCUUCACUGGCAUGGCUUUUUGCCUGUGAUAAAUGCAUUGACGUGACUUUUUCAGUAAUUAUUCACUUUCCUUAACAGGUUUGAGAGAGAGGAGUUCCCUGACAGUAUUAUGGAAAGAAGCAACAACCGCAGUGUGGCAAAGAGGAGGAACAAGGCGUGCGAUGUGUCCUCGGCUGCAGCUCUGCCCUACAGUCAAAUGCUGCGCUCUCCCCCGCAAAACAUAAAGGUGUUGUAGUCAUAGAGGUUGAAUACAAUGUGCAAGGAUGCUCCGUGUGAACAUCACUCUGCAGCCACUACAAGAAGGACAGUUCUGCACCUGCUAGAAAAAGGUAAAGUGGAGAAAUCUCUGUCCUAAUCCUGUAGCAAUUAACAGCUGCUUUCCAUUGUAACAGGACAUGUGGAGCCUAAAUAUGUACCACAGUGGUUUUGGGGUCAGGGCGAAGGUUGGGGGUCACACCAUGCAACACUUUAGUCCUCACCACUGCAGCCAGCAAGAGGUGAAAGAGCCCAAAUUACAGUGUUGCAUUAGCAUUUGAUAACAAAUGCUCCGCUCGUCAAUUGUAAGUUUUAUCUUCGUUUCACGGCUGGGAUAAACACAUCGUUAGGAAAAGUUAUUUAGGAAGGUCAUGCAGCAGAGCGAUGACAAAACCCCGGUGUUUCCAAAACCCCAGCUUGGUGCCCAGGGCUGUGCUCCCAGGAUCCCAAACACGGCCCCUGGCGGUGGUUCGAGGGAAACCGCCAUGGGAAGGGAAUCGUGCAUCCCCUCCUAUCCAGCAAAUACUUUUUCUCUAGCCACAGAAAACAGGGUAGAAAAAGGUGCAGGAGUGGUGAUGGGAAGAGACUCCUGAAAGAUGCAUAUAUAUAUAUAUUUAUUUAAUAUAUAUUCGUAUAUCUAAAAUGUGUGUGUAUAUAUCUAAAUGUGUGUGUGUGCAUGUCACACACAAAAUUCUAUAUUAGAUAUCUGUUAGAACGAGUUUCCCCUCUCAGUCUGAGACACAAUCUAUUUGUCAUAUCCAUAAAUGUAAUUUUUUUUCACUUAGGACCUGACCUUGGCCAGGUUGCUGGAAUAGUUGGGUUAGGAGAAUAAUCUGCAGCUGAUCCUUCAUAAAACAGGCUCUUUUUUAAGAGGGUAUGACUUUCUUCAAGUAUAAACUUUUAAUACAAAAGAUAUUUUCUGCACGUUACGUGUGCACCUGACGCAUAGAGCAAGAGUCCUCAUCUGAAUAGAGCUGUGCUGGGUUAUCGUACCCACCGAGAGCCAUCAUUGCCACGCUGUUCUUUAUGACCCACGUCAGAAGAAUCAUUUGAACAAAUACAAAGUCCUUUUAGGAAAUUAAGAUUUCUUAUUUAUUUGGAGGAAAAAACCAACAAAACUCAAUCAUUUUAUUACUUACUGGCAAAGUCAUUCUUGCUACAUUACCUAUUUUAAAACUCACAUCUCAUUCAAUUAAGAUUUCAUACCACUGACGAAAUGAUGCUGUCCUGAAAAACAAUACUGCAAAAGCUGCUAUAUACAAGCCCAUAAAUAAACGGCAAGAUUUUCAGGCUUCAAAAGACUGAGGACAAGAAGAGAUUGUUGGAAGAUUCAUUUGAGCUUUUCUUAUUCAGUACAUUUGCUGCAUUCGCUAUCAACAAAAUACAUUGAAUCAAACAAAAAGAA